rnacentral:rRNA from 1 species
UCCGUAGGGUGCAAGCGUUAAUCGGAAUUACUGGGCGUAAAGCGUGCGCAGGCGGUGAUGUAAGACAGAUGUGAAAUCCCCGGGCUCAACCUGGGAACUGCAUUUGUGACUGCAUCGCUGGAGUGCGGCAGAGGGGGAUGGAAUUCCGCGUGUAGCAGUGAAAUGCGUAGAUAUGCGGAGGAACACCGAUGGCGAAGGCAAUCCCCUGGACCUGUACUGACGCUCAUGCACGAAAGCGUGGGGAGCAAACAGG